UCUGUAAACAAAGGACAGUAAAACAACUAGAUUAUUAAAGAUAGAAACGUAAAACCAGUCAUUAAAUUUAAAACAUUUUAACUAUAGAGGACAACACAAUAU